AUUGAACGCUGGCGGCAGGCCUAACACAUGCAAGUCGAGCGGAUGAAGGGUGCUUGCUCCUGGAUUCAGCGGCGGACUGGUGAGUAAUGCCUAGGAAUCUGCCUGGUAGCGGGGGAUAACGUCCGGAAACGGGCGAUAAUACCGCAUUAGCCCUGAGGGAGAAAGUGGGGGAUCUUCGGACCUCACGCUAUCAGAUGAGCCUAGGUCGGAUUAGCUAGUUGGUGGGGUAAAGGCCUACCAAGGCGACGAUCCGUAACUGGUCUGAGAGGAUGAUCAGUCACACUGGAACUGAGACACGGUCCAGACUCCUACGGGAGGCAGCAGUGGGGAAUAUUGGACAAUGGGCGAAAGCCUGAUCCAGCCAUGCCGCGUGUGUGAAGAAGGUCUUCGGAUUGUAAAGCCCUUUUAGUUGGGAAGAAAGGCAGUAAGUUAAUACCUUGCUGUUUUGACGUUACCAACAGAAUAAGCACCGGCUAACUUCGUG
rnacentral:rRNA from 1 species